UACGAAGGGGGCUAGCGUUGCUCGGAUUUACUGGGCGUAAAGGGCGCGUAGGCGGACAGUUUAGUCAGAGGUGAAAGCCCAGGGCUCAACCUUGGAAUUGCCUUUGAUACUGGCUGUCUUGAGUACGGGGAGAGGUGAGUGGAACUCCGAGUGUAAGAGGUGAAAUUCGUAGAUAUUCGGAAGAACACCAGUGGCGAAGGCGACUCACUGGCCCGUUACUGACGCUGAGGCGCGAAAGGCGUGGGGAGCAAACAGG
rnacentral:rRNA from 1 species